CUCUAUGUUUAAUAUGCACCCAGGGAGUGAAGUCCUUAGGACCAUAAUGAUCCAAGCAUAUUAAACUCACGCACAAGUUCAAUGCCAGAAGAGACUGUAGAUCCAAGGCACCAACAUUAAAAGUCCAGAACAUUGAUUAUCUGCUUGGGUCAUAACAGAGGUGUCCCUGAAUAUUGAGUUCAGAAAGAUGCUGGCCGCCUUUGAUGUCGGGCGCUUCAAAGAGUACUACUUGCAAGUUCUCUUUGGCUUGGGACAAUAAUGUGCAUAUCGAUGUAGGUAUAAGUGAGGCUAACAUUUACUGUGUGAAC